ensembl:misc_RNA
UUGACAGCUUUGGAAACUGAAGGGCUCUAAUUAUCCACAAAACAGGUACAAUAUGGCCAGUGGUAAUAGAAAUCAUUUCAUACUCCCUGCUGGUGUGCCCCAGAUAGGUUUCUUAGGAACCUCAUGGGAUAUAAAGGUUUUAAGACUCCUUCCUGUUCAGUCUUUGCUAAGA